UGUGAAUUGGUCUCCGUUGGUACAGGCUUAACCAGUUCUGUACUAUAUCACUAAGACUCAUGUGGCUAUGAACAAUGCCUUUGUAUAUUGUGGUAAAAGUUCUUAAGUGUCUUCUUACGUAACCUAGAGUGUCAAGUCUUAAACCAGUGAUUCUCAAAUUUGAGAAUGAACAGAAUCGCCUCAGAGUUAUGUUUUAAAUGCAUAUUACCAGAUGUAGAAUUAGUCAUUCUGACCUGGGGCCCAGAUAUCUUCAUUUUUAAUAAUUCAUAUUUAGAUAAUAUUGAAGAAAGACCACCCUUUGAAAACACCAUUUUAAACUCUUUAGCCUGGCAUGCAAGAGUUGCAUGAUCUGUUCCCUGCUUAUAUUAUUUGCCUCUGUUUGUUCCCCUAUGUGGAAUAUUGGUCUUGCUUUAAUUGUCUACAUACUGUUUUCUGGGCGAUACAUAGACAGCCCAUCUCCCAGAACACUGUUGUGAUCUGUUAAUGUGAGAUGGUACUAAUACCAUUCUUCUCCCCUGGCAUUUCUUCUACUUUCUACUUUGUCCAGAUCUUGACGUCCCUUUAAGAUGCAACUCUGCUUUUUUUAUGAAGUCUUCUCACCAUUUUAAGCAUUUUAAGUCCCAUUCCCCACCCCACCCCCAUGAUCCUAAGCACUCAUGCAGUCUUUCAGCAUUUCCUGCAUUGUCGAGUUUUGUUUUUAUGUUAGUAAUCUCAAAUUGUUCAUUUGUUGGCAAGGAUUUUGCCUUAUAUAUAUUUUUUUAUCUUCCACAGGACCUGUGUGGAAAUAAAAACGAAUGCCUGUAGGGCUAUUUUGAAGGACCACAGUGAAAUAUUCACUGGACGUUCAGUGAAUAUUUUUAGAAUUUAAAUCAGUCUGUUCAUCUUGUCCACUCUGUCCAUACAUAGCCUUUAUAAUUCUGUAGACUUUGUUUACAUGAUCUCUAAAGCGUGGUUGUUACAGAUUGAAGAGGUCCCUCAUCUUUCUAGUUUAUCCUCAUGGCUUUAUUUCACCUCAUGUUUGUCAGUCUGUAAUUUGUUUAUGGAUUACUGCAGCUCUAGUUUUAUGUACUAUUUCAGCUAAAGAUUAUUAGCAUUAGUUUUUUCUGAUAGGCUUUGGACUUAUAUGGAAGGGAUGCCUUACAGAAUUAAAAAGGAUGCCCUUGAUAGUGAGGUAAUUUCUAGCCUGAUGUAUUGUAGAUUUCUCGUUGACAGUUUGAGGCCAAGUGAUCAGAUCCCUGACCUAGACCCACAUUCUUAUCGUAAUAUCCUGAGUUGUUUCUCCAAUGGUUAGAACUUAAGAUUGAAACUGACAAAAGGGAGAAAAGGGGGUUCUGCAUUUCCCUAGCCUGGAUUUGAUGGCAGCCCUGUUGUGUAGGAGUUUAGAGAUGCUUUCCUUUUAUUUCUGCCUACACCAGCCCCCCCUGGGAAAAAGAACAACAGCAUAUUCUGGGGAAAGAAUGAGGUUGGUGAGGGCAACUAGUCAACAUCUGUCACUCCAUUGCUUGUCAGGAUUCUUUUAGCUGAUUUGUCUGACUGGGCAGGUGUCCCCUCUCUCCCUCAGUGCUCCAUGUGCAUCCCUCUUGAAGCUUCGCACUCUGUUGAAGAGGACACCAUCCCAGUCAUUAUUUAGAAGCGAGGUCCUUGAAUGAGAGAGAUUAUCGGGACCGGAGAUACGUUGAUGAAUACAGAAAUGACUACUGCGAAGGCUAUGUACCUAGACAUUAUCAUAGAGACGUUGAAAGCGGUUAUCGAGUCCAUUGCAGUAAAUCUUCGGUCCGAAGCAGGAGAAGCAGUCCUAAAAGGAAGCGUAAUAGACACUGUUCAAGUCAUCAGUCACGUUCGAUGAAAUCGUGGACACUUUGGGUGAAGGGGCCUUUGGCAAAGUCGUAGAGUGCAUUGAUCAUGGCAUGGAUGGCAUGCAUGUAGCAGUGAAAAUUGUAAAAAAUGUAGGUCGAUACCGUGAAGCAGCUCGUUCAGAAAUCCAAGUAUUGGAGCAUUUAAAUAGUACUGAUCCCAAUAGUGUCUUCCGAUGUGUCCAGAUGCUAGAAUGGUUUGAUCAUCAUGGUCAUGUUUGUAUUGUGUUUGAACUGCUGGGACUUAGUACCUAUGAUUUCAUUAAAGAAAAUAGCUUUCUACCAUUUCAAAUUGACCACAUCAGGCAGAUGGCGUAUCAGAUCUGCCAGUCUAUAAAUUUUUUGCAUCAUAAUAAGUUAACCCAUACAGAUCUGAAGCCUGAAAAUAUUUUAUUUGUGAAGUCUGACUAUGUAGUCAAAUAUAAUUCUAAAAUGAAACGUGAUGAACGCACAUUGAAAAACACAGAUAUCAAGGUUGUUGACUUUGGAAGUGCAACGUAUGAUGAUGAACAUCAUAGUACUUUGGUAUCUACACGGCAUUACAGAGCUCCAGAGGUCAUUCUGGCUUUAGGUUGGUCCCAGCCUUGUGAUGUUUGGAGCAUAGGUUGCAUUCUUAUUGAAUAUUACCUUGGUUUCACAGUCUUUCAGACUCAUGAUAGUAAAGAGCACCUCGCAAUGAUGGAACGAAUACUAGGACCCAUACCAACACACAUGAUUCAGAAAACAAGAAAACGCAAGUAUUUUCACCAUAACCAGCUAGACUGGGAUGAACACAGUUCCGCUGGCCGAUAUGUUAGGAGACGCUGCAAACCAUUAAAGGAAUUUAUGCUUUGUCAUGAUGAAGAACAUGAGAAACUAUUUGACCUGGUACGAAGAAUGUUAGAAUACGACCCAGUGAAAAGAAUCACCUUGGACGAAGCCUUGCAGCAUCCUUUCUUUGACUUAUUAAACAAGAAAUGAAAUGGAAAUCAGUGGUCUUACUAUAUACUUCUCUAGAAGAGAUUACUUAAGACUGUGUCAGUCAACUCUAAACAUUCUAAUAUUUUUGUAAACAUUAAAUUAUUUUGUACAGUUAAGUGUAAAUACUGUAUGUUUUGUAUCAAUAGUAUAAUUACCUUGUUAAGCAAGUAUGGUCUUGAUAACGAAUGAACUAUAAAAGUUAAAAUUAAUUUUCCUUUUUGAAAUUACCAUUUUAAAAAAUCUUUGGAAUAUUCUUUGUGUCCAGUGAUAAAUGUGAUUGAUCUUGUCUUUUGUACAUGGAGGUCAACUCUUUGAAGUGAUUUUUUUGAGUAAAAGGCAAUCUUGACUACUUUAUUCUUAAUGAAUAUUCUUUAUAUACCUCAAAUUCAAAACUUUUCGUAAUUUUUUUUUCUGUAAUUGUUGAACAGGUAAUAAGUAUUAAUUCCCAAUAGGCAGGUAUUGGAAACCAAAACCCAUAGGAAAAUGUUUACUCUUGGAAUUUCAUUAAAUUUUAAGAAUUGUG